AGAGUUUGAUCCUGGCUCAGAACGAACGCUGGCGGCAUGCCUAAUACAUGCAGGUCGAACGAGAUCUUCGGAUCUAGUGGCGCACGGGUGCGUAACGCGUGGGAAUCUGCCCUUGGGUUCGGAAUAACAGUUGGAAACGACUGCUAAUACCGGAUGAUGACGAAAGUCCAAAGAUUUAUCGCCCAAGGAUGAGCCCGCGUAGGAUUAGCUAGUUGGUGGGGUAAAGGCCUACCAAGGCGACGAUCCUUAGCUGGUCUGAGAGGAUGAUCAGCCACACUGGGACUGAGACACGGCCCAGACUCCUACGGGAGGCAGCAGUAGGGAAUAUUGGACAAUGGGGGCAACCCUGAUCCAGCAAUGCCGCGUGAGUGAUGAAGGCCUUAGGGUUGUAAAGCUCUUUUACCCGGGG
rnacentral:rRNA from 1 species